rnacentral:rRNA from 1 species
AUGGAGUGGAGCUUCAACAAUUCCGGCAUUGAUGUAGAUGAUGAACUUUGGGUGGUUAAUGUGCUGCCAAUUAAUGGUCUAGGGGAUAAUGUGCAAAGGAUAAUUGGACUGUCUGAUAUCACUUUUCUCAAGUUAGUGAGCUUGGUGUGCUCUGUUGGCUAUAACAAAAAGGAUACCAUCUAUUAUCAGUGCGGAGGAUUAGUUGGCAUGGAGCUAUUGGACAGUAAUAAGAAGGUGACAACAAUGGUAAAUCAGUACAAGAGCGUUAAGAUGUUGAAUCUGUCAGUUUUGAGGAGACCCGCACCAACCCGCGGCAAGAAAAGAACGAGGAAGCAAGCAUUGUUGAUAGAGCAGCCAACCAAAGAGGGCAUUAACGAAGUCAUAGUUGAGCAAGCAAAUGUGUUAGAGGAAAAAGUUGAGGUGACAGAGGAAGAAGAAGAGAUGGCAGUGGCAGAGGAAAAAGAAGAGAUGGCAGUGGCUGAGAAUUAUGAUGAUGAAGACUUGGAAAAUCUUGCUCGAUUAAAGAGACAGAAAGAAGAUCCUGCGGAGCACAUGGAGGGCGACACCGAUAUUGAGGACUUUUAUCCACUACUAGAUGAUACACCUGUUAUUCCUAUUGAAGAUAGCACACUUGAUUCUUGCAAUCCAUCAAAGAAGAGAGCAGAAGCAUGGCAGAAGAAGAAACUGAGGAAGGAUGCUAUUCUCGGUUCACAAGCAAAGUUGCGAGAUGUAACCAACACUCAAGCAUGUGAACUUUCAGAUCCAGGAAGUGAGGAUAUUGGAAUGGAUAUAAUAUCAAGCGAUGAUGAUGGCUUUGAACCUGCAAUAUCCGUUGCACCAAAAUGCAAGAAGAGUAGAGCACAACCACUUCCAACUAGAGUGUGGUAUGAUGAGGGCAGGUUGCUUGGAAUGCUUGUAAAUGCCAGAUACACAACAUGA